rnacentral:rRNA from 1 species
UACGAGGGGGGCAAGCGUUGUUCGGAAUUAUUGGGCGUAAAGGGUGCGUAGGCGGUUUGGUAAGUCUUAUGUGAAAUCUACAGGCUCAACUUGUAGUCUGCAUGAGAAACUGCCGGGCUUGAGUAUGGGAGAGGUGAGUGGAAUUCCUGGUGUAGCGGUGAAAUGCGUAGAUAUCAGGAGGAACACCUGUGGCGAAGGCGGGUCUCUGGGCCGAUAUUGACGCUGAGGAGCGAAAGCGUGGGGAGCGAACAGG